UACAACAUAUAGCGUUAAUGCAUUGGAUCCCAUUAGGACUCCGUUGUUAAGUGUGCUCAAGCUAGAGUAGUACUGGGAUGGGUGACCGCCCAAGAAUUCCUAGUGUUUUAC
rnacentral:rRNA from 1 species